AGAGUUUGAUCCUGGCUCAGGACGAACGCUGGCGGCAUGCCUAAUACAUGCAAGUCGAGCGGAACGAAUGGGAGCUUGCUCCUGCUCGUUUAGCGGCGGACGGGUGAGUAACACGUGGGCAACCUGCCCUGCAGAUCGGGAUAACUCCGGGAAACCGGUGCUAAUACCGAAUAGUUUUUUGCCCCUCCUGGGGCGAAACGGAAAGACGGUUUCGGCUGUCACUGCAGGAUGGGCCCGCGGCGCAUUAGCUAGUUGGUGGGGUAACGGCCCACCAAGGCGACGAUGCGUAGCCGACCUGAGAGGGUGAUCGGCCACACUGGGACUGAGACACGGCCCAGACUCCUACGGGAGGCAGCAGUAGGGAAUCUUCCGCAAUGGACGAAAGUCUGACGGAGCAAUGCCGCGUGAGUGACGAAGGUUUUCGGAUCGUAAAACUCUGUUGUAAGGGAAGAACAAGUGCCAAGUAACUACUGGCACCUUGACGGUACCUUACCAGAAAGCCACGGCUAACUACGUGCCAGCAGCCGCGGUAAUACGUAGGUGGCAAGCGUUGUCCGGAAUUAUUGGGCGUAAAGCGCGCGCAGGCGGUCCCUUAAGUCUGAUGUGAAAGCCCACGGCUCAACCCGUGGAGGGUCAUUGGAAACUGGGGGGACUUGAGUGCAGAAGAGGAAAGUGGAAUUCCAUGUGUAGCGGUGAAAUGCGUAGAGAUGUGGAGGAACACCAGUGGCGAAGGCGACUUUCUGGUCUGUAACUGACGCUGAGGCGCGAAAGCGUGGGGAGCAAACAGGAUUAGAUACCCU
rnacentral:rRNA from 1 species